UCCUGAUCCCGUACGUCUCUUUGGCCAUACCUUGGUCACCCUUCCAGGAUAAAAGGAAGACGACAACCAGACAGAGCACGCGUCGACUGAUCGGUUUCUCCACUGCGUUCCGUUCCACAGCGUCUGAAAGCAAACAUGUCGCUGAAGGACUUGGCGUAUAUGGGCAGAAAAGUCACGUGGCGUCCCCAGCUCUUUGCAGGCUAUAAUCUGAGCAACGACUCGGACGCAUGGAACCGGAAAGGGCAAGAAACCUUACGCAGACAGGACGAUGAUUCCCUCUUGUCCGGUUGGUACGACGUCAUCAGUUGGUUCCUCAACUUUAUCCUGGCAAACCCCAGGGACGCACUCUUUCUGCGCCAGUUUGGUGGUGGCGUCGACAUGAUUGAGAUCAUGGACAAGUAUUUCACGUACGAACCGAAAGUAUUCGUCAUGUACGUAACUGGUUUUGCGUACAGUAUCCUGGGCCUGUUCGGCAGCGUUGCGUAUAUUCAGCUGAGGCGCAGGAAGCGCUGUGGCGGAGAUCGAACCCAGGACCUGACGGAAAACAUGCGUUGUCUUCUUAGUGUUUACACUGGCAUCUACAUCCUCCUCUUGGCCGGCAUACUAAUGGGUUCUCUCCUGAUGAUGGGAUCCUUGUUUGAAAUGAGCCGUGCCAUCAAGAGCGAAGGACAAGUUGGAUUUGAAGCACGCAUUGAUGAAGUCGGCUUGUACAUCAAAAAUGCUUCCAAGCACACACAGGAACUGAACAACAUGAGAAAACAUUUCUUCGACGACCUCACCAAUACGCUGCUCCAGAAUUUCCAGCCUGAAAUGUCCAAGUUCCUGUUACCUAUUGUGCAAGGCUACACCGAAAAUUUCACUUCCCCGACACAUCCACGUGCACUCUUGCGAGCACUCGACAUACCGAAAGAUGACUUUGAUAUGGAGGCCCAAACGUCUACCGAUUAUAAAUCAGCAUUGCAAGAAAAUUUUACACAGCUCAUUUCCGAGCGCAUUAACGAGCAGUACAAUGCAACCAUAGUUGAGGCAGGACAUCUAUCUCACAGUGCGUCCAGUCUUCUUAUUCGAUUUAAUGCGUUUCUCCAAGCAGAUGCAAACCACACUAUCCGAAGUAUGGGGGCCAUCCCUCGUAGGGUGCAGGAUGCCGACUCGUGGAAGGUGCUCGACACUCUGCAGAACAAGAGCGUUUAUUACGUUGUCGUCGUGCUGAUCGCCUUCAUCAUCCUCUUCACCAUGUACACGGGAGCCUUCAUCACGGGAAUGUUUCACCAUAACGAAUUUCUGGCGCCUACAAAACGAUCCAACUAUUCGAAUUUCGCCGGACUCGUCAUGGUCGGUGCCAUCGCUAUAUCAUUCCCCGUGUGUGCCUUGCUUAUGGUCAUGACCACUGUGAUUAUGGUGCUGAGUGUGACGCUCACCAAUUACGUCUGUCUUCCGUACGACAAAAUCGUCUACGGGGAGGCUGACGAACCUAUUCAACAAGUGUCUCUGCUAGAUGAUACCUUCUCUGUAUUUUGGCCAGAACAAGAGCGUGGAAAGUGGUUCGGAAAAUUCUUGGCAGGCACUACGUUGUGGAAAUGCAACGGUGGCCGACUCUUCGACGUCAUUCACAACGACUUCGACACUGGCAUCCACUCUUUCAUCAACAAAACGGAGAACCUGCACCAUCUUCUGUCGUCCUUAGCUGUGGAUCCUCGCAGGAUACUCGAUGAUCCAUCCCCCUAUAUUGCUCAACAGGACUUUGACAUACUGAAGGCAAUGAUGUGGGGCCACCUCGAGAAUAUAGUUGAGAGGUUUGGCGAUGAGAAAGUUCAACAGAUUCGUAGCAGAGAUCUCGACAUGGAUGUGGUGAACCCACCCUGCUUCGCCGCUUACAAAGGAUACGAAAGAGGUUUUCGCUACGCCUGCCAUGGCUUGAUUCGCAAUAUCAACGCCUUCUGGACAGCCCUGGGUUUCUGCGUGUGGAUGUUCACCAUUCUGGCUAUUGUGUCUCACAACCUGUCGAAAUAUUUUCUCCGCAUGGUUAACUACACUUUCGACGGCUCCGAAGUGGAAUCGACAUCGUCGUCAUCAACAGCCCCGGGAGAGGCAACAGCAGAGACCAAGUCUGAGGAAAAAGUGCCGUUGGUACCUGAGCCUGCACCAGCUUCAACCGGCGAAAAAGCAGCGUUGAGUCCAGAGUCACCAGAACCGGGGGGGCCACCACGAAAACAAAGUGAAGAUGUCGUCAAGAAAGAGGUCAAGAAGGAAGCAGAACCCACUGCCAUGCCAAAAUGGAUGCAAAAGGCUCGAAAGGCUUAGGUGAGCUGUACGUACACCUUUCGAUGUACCUUUGUUUCCUGCACCUUACAGAAAAAGUACAGCCGCCAUGAACGCUUCCAGUUCCAGAAUCCGGGAGUAAAUUAGGACCCUCCGAUGGCGUUCUUCAAACAGGCUAACGUCAUUCCGAUGUGAUGCCAGGAUAGGAUGAAAUAUAUAGCUGCAUUAAACAGUCUCUCGCGAA